ensembl:lncRNA
AUAAAUAAAUCAUAUAAUACAAAAAUCAACUAUUCACAUUUCAAGUUUUAACUAUUUAAAUUUUCAGCUUUUUCCUUUCACAAAUUUAAAGUGAAAAGAACACAAAACACUGCAAACCACAACACAAUUAAAUAUAAAUUAUAAUAUGAAAACUAAAAGAACAUGCAUAUUCUCUGUCAUAUGGACCUGCAUGAAUAAACUUUCUGAAUCCUUUAUCAUCUGCAACCGAAAAUAGUUGUGGAUGAUUACUAUACCUUUCUAAUGUUGUUGUCCCUGCCUCUCUUUCUCUCUCUCUGGCUCUGUUCCUGUGCUACUGAGUGUAACUACCGCCCCUCCCCCCUCUGCCCAGCGUAAAGCACAAGGCUCGCGUGCGGAGUGAAGCGGAAAAAAAGUGCGAGAGAGAGGCUGAGAGAAAGAAAAAAAAAACAAAACCCACGUGACGGCUCGCGAUAAGGAGCCGGCUCGCGUCGUUCACGUCAAAGAGUCGGCUCUAAGAGCCAUUUCGUUCGCGAACGACCCAUCACUAUCCACCAUAGCCUCGUCUCAGUCCUGUGUGCUUGAUCUAAAGUUGACUUUGACCGCAACCCACGUUAAACCAGCAGUUGGUACAACGCUGCAUGAAGUUACAACAUGGUGUGAGAAGUUGGCGAGACCGUGUGAACGGGGACCACGACGCCAUGCAGAUAAACCGAUCCUGGGUGGACAAGCUUGUGAAGAGCUGCAUCUGGUGAAACGAGUUGAGACCCUUGCCAUAACAUCCACUAAAACGAAACUAGCCAAACCACCUUCUACCAAGGAAGAGCUUGUGGAGAUGUAUGCUGAUGUGUUCACAGGCUUAGGUGAGUUCCCUGGAGUUCACCACAUACACACUGACCCAAACGCAACACCUGUGAUUCACGCAUGCAGGAACCACGCUCCUACACUGUGCAAACACCAGAGGGUGAGGUGCUCAGGAGAAACAGGAGACAUCUGAGGAAAAUACAGCCAAGCCUGUUUAAGGACACAUCCAUGGACCCAGAUGUCUGUUCACGCCCAAGAGCCAGUUGUGCCACCAGCAAGUGACACCCCACAACACUCACCUCCUGCAAGUAUGGACAAUACACCCACAUGCUACACACGCAGUGGCCGAGCAAUAAUACGCCCUGCCAGGUAUAGAGACUAAGUGAUUGGGAAACUUAAAGUCACUCUACCCUGUACCUGAGUUGUUCUGUACAAGUUAGAUAACUGUCUUGUUGGAAAAGAGAGAAAAUAUGUCAUGUUUCAUAUGUUCAUUUUGACAUGUCUCAUCCAAUUUGUCAUGUGUUCAUCUGUUUCAAAACACUGCACUGAUAUAUAUUUGCAUUGUUCAAGUGAUAGGCAAUCUAAGGUGUGCUUUACUUAAUGUCUCAAGAAUAUAAUAUUGUUAAUGUUCCUACGAUUUAAAAGGUGCAUUUAUGUUACAAAAUAUUGGCGUUAACCCUUUAGAGCCGGUCGGAGCGGGCAUGCUCUGUUUUGCGUAACUAUUUUUAAAUCCCGGUAGCUCUGCAGCCACGUAAGCUAGCGCAAUAAUUUUUUUUGCAUAUGAAACCGGAGGAGUUGUACUUACAUCUUAUGCCAUCAGCUUGUCCUAGGUCACAGUUUCCUUCCACAUAUAGCUUUGCAAAAACAGCAUAAAAAGCACUUGCAGCAACAAAAACAUAAUAUUCCAGAAACACGCUUUGCCGAUCCGAUCAGCUGUUCAUAACACUUCCUACGUUGGAAUAGACGUCAGCGCGAACUUUUGCAUGUCCGCCAUUACCUGCCCAUAACGGGAGGUGAUGUAAUUUUCGCGGAAAUGUAGUUUUUUUUUAUCAUCAGGGCCUCAGGGCCUAUACUGGUGUUUUUAAAAGUUAUCUUUGACUUUAUGACUUUCUGUGUCUUUUCUGGGAUGCUUAGGACUCAUAUUGCUCUGCUGGAAAUAGUUUAUUUUGAUGCACCUGCUGCUUUUUUGCAAAUUUGCAGUAUAAUAUUUAUUUCCGUUUUUCCUGCAGUAUAUAAAAAUUGGUGUAUUUCAAAAAUAAAACUAUGAAGACACUCAAAAUAAAUUUCCUGUGGUAGGAAACUAUUUUGUGCAACUUUUUUGUAUUUACAGUUUUGAGGGAUAAGCCUCUCAAAUUUCUCUAACUAGAAAUAUGUGUUAAAAAAGCAAAAAUGAUUUUAAAUUUUUUUGUAGUUUAUUGCACUUUUUUGCUAUUUAUGUAAUUACUAUGCACUUAAUGAAUACAUAUUAUUAAAAUCUGGGCUAUAAUUGUUGUAUUGAUGUAUAGCAACUUGAAAUGCUCCCAAAAAUGGCUCCACAGCCUGUAAAAAUAUGAUAUAAGCUCUGGCGGACUUGGUUCUGUGGUAGUAUCUUUAUCUCGGAAAAGAGGGAUGUGGUAUAUUGCAAUAAGCAGCAGCUAUUACUACCUCCCACCAGUAGGUGGUACUGUGGUAUUGUAUGUGAUUGAAAGGGAGCUGAGUAAAAAGACCCGACCUCCACCAUAGCCUCGUCUCAGUCCUGUGUGCUUGAUCUAAAGUUGACUUUGACCGCAACCCACGUUAAACCAGCAGUUGGUACAACGCUGCAUGAAGUUACAACAGUCCCCCUGCUAGCUUAUGCUUACAAAUGGACCGUGUGCCAUCGUGGUCGCACAGACGGACACACCGCGCUGCUCUGCUCGCUAAGCUAACUAAGCUUUGGGAAACAAAAGAAAAAGCCCGAUACUGGUUAUGUUACACUGGCAGCAUGAAGUCAGUGCAUUAUAUUGAAUCAUUAUCAUCUGUUAGCUAUCCGUCUGUCUCAGCGUGUUAGCCCUGCGACAGACUGGCAACCUGUCCACAGUGUCCCUCGCCUCUCACCCUGAGACAGCUCGGAUAGGCUCCAGCCACCCCCCCUCUUCUUCUCAUUUCUUUCUUCUUUUAACCCUUCCAGAAGGAUAACUCUUCCACACUAGGGAUGGGUACCGGUAUAAACGGUAGUAACCAGACCGAAAAGCAGCGCACAUUUCGGUGCUUUAUUUCGGUGCUUUUUUUCCUGAGACGUCACACACUUUGAAUUCUAGCCAAUCAUUUUACGUUUCCGAGGAUAGUAGGCGGGGCCAGGUACGUACGUUCUUUUAGAGCAGAGCUACAGAUUAAAAAUGCCCAAGGUGAAGCGGUCAAAGUCUGGCUGUACUUCACAGCAAAAGAUGCAAACUCAGCAGCAACAAGUGCUUUAAGCUGAUACUGUGAUACUGUCAAAGGAGGUAACACCUCGAAUCCGAUGAAACACCUGGCGACGCAUAGCGUUUUUUUUAAAAGCCGAAAAAUGUGCUGUAUUUGAUAGCUUGCUGCGAGACCUCACACCAAGCACAUCUACUGCGGGUCGGUUGCCUGUUAUGCAACAUCCCCCAAAAACACGAAGAGGAGAGUCCUGGCCCCUAGCCCUGCCAGUGUAGCAGAAAUGAUGAGGAUGAUGAUGCAGCAGCCGUUCUUCUCUGCGUGAGUAGCUUAAUGUUGUUCGUGUGUAAUUUACGUUGAGUAGGCUAACCACGUUAUUACAUUAAUGCAUGUAAGGUGAACUAGCAAACAUCAUCAUAGCUACAUGCUGCUGUCUUCUUGUUUGAUGGCAGAUACUCCCUUCACAAUGGCCAAAAAGGCUAAAAUGACCAAAGAAAAAGUGGAAAACAGUUAAACAUGAGAGGUUUUUGGACAAAGUUUGUGUUUUUUCCAUUGUUUAAGCACUGCUUCCAGCCAACAGUGAUACCAUAUAUGCCCCAUAGCUGCAGAAAAGGCUAACAUUGUUAUCUUUUUACAAAAAAAACCAGCUGAACAUGAGAGGUUUUUGGACCAAUUUUGUGUUCUCCAUUCUUUAAGCACCGGUUUAAGCACCGGCACUGUUUCAAAAGUACCGAUUUGGCACCGGUAUCGGAUAAAACCUAAACGAUACCCACCCCUACUCUUCACUGUCAUUGACCUACAUCAGUCAUCAGGUUGGUUUAAACAGAAUCACAAAGACAGGAACGACAGUUGGUGGAGUCAGGUGAGGCUCGCUCAUUGCAUCCUUUCUAUCCUCAACAGGACAUUUUAUAAUAAGAACACUUGGAGGGAAAGUUGUUCAAGCAACAGUGUGUGGCGGCCGAACACAUCAGCAGCCAUCGUAGCCUGGAACAUUUCUGUGUUACCAGACUUGUUGUUGUUGUUGUUGUUGUUGUUGUUGUGAGAACACUAAUAUCCAACUCGGUAAAUCGGACAUUAAAAACAUUUGCAACAAAACAACAAAAUAAAAAAUGAAUGUUCCAG